GCCAUGUCAGGGGAGUUGAACUGGCCGCACCGACAGGGUCCCUUGGCUCUGGUGCUGGAGUGAUCCAUGCGGUCCAAAGCUGCUGUGGGGCUCUUUGGCGUGACCCGGACCUGUCGCGAGCUUUUCUCCAGGAGGAGCAUGAAACCCUUUAUGUGAUGCAAUUCAGCACAAGGGUCUUUACCUGGCCCCUGUGGGUCCCAUUGGAGCCGUUUGGUACCACCCAGUACUCCGAUCAUCACAAAGCCAGCCGUGAUCAUCACAAACAUCUGCCGUAGCCCAGCCUGGCACACAGGUGGCACAGCACAGAGUGGCAGUGGGUAUGGGCAGCCUCUGUCCCUCCACCCUGCCUGAGCUUUGUGUCUGAGCAAGAACAGGAGGUAGCACUGGCAAAAAUGCUGAAGAGGUGGGGACAAAAGCUGCUGAAGAUGCAGCUGAAGUGACAUGUGACUCAGUGACGUGUCAUCCUUGGCUCAUAGGAAGAGGUGAGACAAAGCUUGGCCAAGAGGAAAUACACUUGGAAAAUUAAAACACUUUACAAGAAAAAUAGCCUCUUCUUCUCUCUUCCUGAUGUCUCAAUUUUCACUGCUCAUCCAGUAAUUUUUGUAUGUAUUAUGAAACAUUAAUGCUGGCCUUAAUUCUGGUGACUGUCCCUCAUCAAUAGAGUAAGAUUUGACCUUUUGCUGACUUGCUACUUUGCAGCAUUUUCUCUCUGCCCUCCAAACCUCAGUCUGUUUUCUGCAUUGAACUUUCUUGCUGUGUCUUUUAAGCUCUUUUUGUGCAGAAGUAAAAGUUCCUUGUGGGCAGAGAUGCUUAUUUGUCUGUUAUAAUUUAUCCACUGUAUGGGAAUCAUGAAGUUAUAUAAAGCAGCAAUACUAUUAAUAGCAGAGAAGGCAGAAAAUUCUCUUUCAAAGUUUUAGUACAAGUUCCCUAUCAACUUAAAUGGAAGCACAAUCCAUAAAGUGGCACAGUCUUGUGUAUAAGAAUUCUGAAUCACAGAGAAAAAUUCAGGAAAAGGAAGUGUAAUAACCAUGUCUACUCACAGAAAUUUAAAUGCAGCCACACAAAUCUUUUAAAUGUUCCUUGGUCAGGUAAGUGUUUACAGCUCGGUAUUGGCUCAGGCAGGAUUAAUGUGAACUGGAAAACAAACCCAGCAAACAUUGUUGGAGCAACAGGGCAGCAAAAGUUUAGGGCAACCCCUGCUGUAACAAGAAACUGACCACUCCUUGCUAGUGAACUGCCAGAGACAAAUGUGUGUGAAAGCAGCAGUGAAAAAUU
rnacentral:lncRNA from 1 species